GAUGAACGCUGGCGGCGUGCCUAAUACAUGCAAGUCGAGCGAACGGACGAGAAGCUUGCUUUUCUGAUGUUAGCGGCGGACGGGUGAGUAACACGUGGAUAACCUACCUAUAAGACUGGGAUAACUUCGGGAAACCGGAGCUAAUACCGGAUAAUAUUUUGAACCGCAUGGUUCAAAAGUGAAAGACGGUCUUGCUGUCACUUAUAGAUGGAUCCGCGCUGCAUUAGCUAGUUGGCAAGGUAACGGCUUACCAAGGCAACGACGCAUAGCCGACCUCAACGCGAGGUCGGCCACCCUGUAAGUGAGACACGGUCCAGACUCCUACACUGGGCAGCAGUCGAGAAUCUUCCGCGAUGCAGGAGAGCCUGAUAUAGCACCACGGCGGGAAGGAUGAUCGUCCUCGGAUCGUAGAGCUCUGUUAGUCGUAAAGUAGAUAUGUGUAAUUAACCGGGCUGAUCAUGACGGUACCGGAACAGUAAGCCACGGCUAACUACGUG
rnacentral:rRNA from 1 species